rnacentral:rRNA from 1 species
GGGGAAUUUUCCGCAAUGGGCGAAAGCCUGACGGAGCAAUACCGCGUGAGGGAUGACGGCCUAUGGGUUGUAAACCUCUUUUUUCAGGGAGGAAUCAAUGACGUGUACCUGAAGAAUAAGCAUCGGCUAACUCCGUGCCAGCAGCCGCGGUAAGACGGAGGAUGCAAGUGUUAUCCGGAAUCACUGGGCGUAAAGCGUCUGUAGGUGGUCUAAUAAGUCAACUGUUAAAUCUUGAGGCUCAACCUCGAAAUCGCAGUCGAAACUAUUAAACUAGAGUAUAGUAGGGGUAAAGGGAAUUUCCAGUGGAGCGGUGAAAUGCGUAGAGAUUGGAAAGAACACCGAUGGCGAAGGCACUUUACUGGGCUAUUACUAACACUGAGAGACGAAAGCUAGGGUAGCAAAUGGGAUUAGAUACCCCAGUAGUCA